GCUAAUACAUGCAAGUCGAACGCGUUGGCCCAAUUGAUUGAUGGUGCUUGCACCUGAUUGAUUUUGGUCGCCAACGAGUGGCGGACGGGUGAGUAACACGUAGGUAACCUGCCCAGAAGCGGGGGACAACAUUUGGAAACAGAUGCUAAUACCGCAUAACAGCGUUGUUCGCAUGAACAACGCUUAAAAGAUGGCUUCUCGCUAUCACUUCUGGAUGGACCUGCGGUGCAUUAGCUUGUUGGUGGGGUAACGGCCUACCAAGGCGAUGAUGCAUAGCCGAGUUGAGAGACUGAUCGGCCACAAUGGGACUGAGACACGGCCCAUACUCCUACGGGAGGCAGCAGUAGGGAAUCUUCCACAAUGGGCGCAAGCCUGAUGGAGCAACACCGCGUGAGUGAAGAAGGGUUUCGGCUCGUAAAGCUCUGUUGUUAAAGAAGAACACGUAUGAGAGUAACUGUUCAUACGUUGACGGUAUUUAACCAGAAAGUCACGGCUAACUACGUGCCAGCAGCCGCGGUAAUACGUAGGUGGCAAGCGUUAUCCGGAUUUAUUGGGCGUAAAGAGAGUGCAGGCGGUUUUCUAAGUCUGAUGUGAAAGCCUUCGGCUUAACCGGAGAAGUGCAUCGGAAACUGGAUAACUUGAGUGCAGAAGAGGGUAGUGGAACUCCAUGUGUAGCGGUGGAAUGCGUAGAUAUAUGGAAGAACACCAGUGGCGAAGGCGGCUACCUGGUCUGCAACUGACGCUGAGACUCGAAAGCAUGGGUAGCGAACAGGAUUAGAUACCCUGGUAGUCCAUGCCGUAAACGAUGAGUGCUAGGUGUUGGAGGGUUUCCGCCCUUCAGUGCCGGAGCUAACGCAUUAAGCACUCCGCCUGGGGAGUACGACCGCAAGGUUGAAACUCAAAGGAAUUGACGGGGGCCCGCACAAGCGGUGGAGCAUGUGGUUUAAUUCGAAGCUACGCGAAGAACCUUACCAGUUCUUGACAUCUUGCGCCAACCCUAAAGAUAGGGCGUUUCCUUCGGAAACGCCAUGACAGGUGGUGCAUGGUCGUCGUCAGCUCGUGUCGUGAAAUGUUGGGUUAAGUCCCGCAACGAACGCAACCCUGGUUACUAGUUGCCAGCAUUAAGUUGGUCACUCUAGUGAGACUGCCGGUGACA
rnacentral:rRNA from 2 species